UUCACAAUAUGAUUUUAACUAGUUGUGGUAUGGUUAAUUGUGUGAAUAUGCUAUAAGAUAUUUAAUUAUUUCUCAUAUAUGAAUGUUGUUUUCAACUUUCCUUAUUAUACAUAAUGAAACUGUGGAAACACACAUGUAUUUUCCAAUGUUUAUGCCUGGAACUGUAGUUGCAUUGUGAAACAGUAUUUAAACUUUUAAAAGUUUGAGCAUAAAUAGCAAAAUGAAAAAAAUGCCCUAAGCCUUAUAAUUCUCAGUGAUCUAUUUACAUAAAAUAAAAAAUAUUAUAUGUUGAAAUAACAGUGAACAGAAAACUCUCCAUCUAAAUUUUAAUUAACUUCUAAUUUUCAAGAAUUAGAAUGCUUCAGAAUGAAACCCCUGAUGAAUUUUUUGCUUUAUCAUGCAAAAUCUUGCAUCAAAGAUUAAAACAUUUGUGAAUUUGCUUUUGGCAUGUCUCUCAUGCAUUGAAAUAAAAAAAAAAACUCAGGAAAAUUUUGAUGGACAUGGAAAAUUUCACUUUCUGAUUGAAGGGUAGCAAAUAUAAUUAGUGUAAUCAACAGAACUCAUAUUUAACUACUUUUGCUAAAUAUUCUCAGAUACUGCUUAACUCUUUUGCUAAUUCUGUCAAUUGAUAAGAGUCUUGAAUUUUGAGUUCUGAGUGUUUAAUUUCAUAAAUAAUCUACAUUAUUUUCUCAUUAUAGAUGCAGCC
rnacentral:lncRNA from 1 species